CUUAUUUCUUUCAUAUCUUGUCUCCAAUAUUUUAAAUACUCAUAGUCUAUCAUUUUAUCCUAAAGUAGUUGUGAUACUGCAAAUUUCUUUGUAAUAAUUUAUUCUAAUUGUACUAUAUCUGAUAUUAAAUUCUAGGUUAUCUAUUUCGUUAGUUAUCCUACUUGGAUAAAUACAUAGAUAAAUAGAUCUAUUCUUAUGGAUCUAUUUUUAUUUGUGUGUGGAUAUUUCUUAACUUCUCUAAAUAUUUUUAUUUUAUUAAUGUUCAUAACUUGGAGGAUGAUUAUGUGGUAAUUGAUUAAAAGCUUUACUGUAGUAUUCUUUAGUUUUUCUCUUAGUCUUUGUAAUUCUUCUAUAUUAUUUUGGAGGUAUUCUAAAUAUUCUAUAUUUUUUGUUCUAAAAUAUUCAAUUAAAUUUUCUUUCAUAAGUAUCUCUGUUGCUCUUAUUUCUUCCAUAUCUUGUCUCCAAUAUUUUAAAUACUCAUAGUCUAUCAUUUUAUCCUAAAGUAGUUGUGAUACUGCAAAUUUCUUUGUAAUACCUAUAUCUGAUAUUAAAUUCUAGGUUAUCUAUUUCGUUAAUUAUCCUGUCUUUUUCGUCUAUGAAUAAUUCUAUGUCUAAAUCAUAUUCUAAACUGUC
rnacentral:lncRNA from 1 species